UACGGAGGAUGCGAGCGUUAUCCUGAUUUAUUGGGCGUAAAGAGCUUGUAGGCGGUUUGUCGCGUCUGCUGUGAAAAUCCGAGGCUCAACCUCGGACUUGCAGUGGGUACGGGCAGACUAGAGUGUGGUAGGGGAGACUGGAAUUCCUGGUGUAGCGGUGAAAUGCGCAGAUAUCAGGAGGAACACCGAUGGCGAAGGCAGGUCUCUGGGCCACUACUGACGCUGAGAAGCGAAAGCAUGGGGAGGCGAACA
rnacentral:rRNA from 1 species